ensembl:snRNA U6 U6 spliceosomal RNA
GUGCUCGCUUCGGCAGCACAUAUACUAAAAUUGGAACGAUACAGAGAAUAUUAGCAUGCCCCCUGUGCAAGGGGCAAAUGCAAAAGAAACAAAAGAGACCAUAGCAA